GAGAUUCCUAUAAAGAGGAUGAAGAUGACUUAGUUACAAGUUAACACAAUCCAGUACUCUACAAGGAGAGACAAAAUUAUUGCUUUUUUCAAGGUGAUUACUAGAAUUUAACAGAAAAACAAACAUGUACCUCUAAAAAAAGAUCCUGCAUUUACAGUUCUCAUGUCUCCAGCAUUAAUUACUCAAUCAUGCCAACCUCCAGUUUUUUGUCAUACUUCUACCCGCUUAAGCUUUAUAAAGCUUUCUAAAUGGUGGGCUCAAACCAAGAAAGUAUCUGGAGUUGCCAGAUGUCCAAGACCUUUCUUAACAUGAUUCCAACCAACUUUUUGGAGUUUAGCCCCAUCUAUCUUCUGCCUAUGGGCAUACCUCACCUUGUUUUUAAUACGAAACUAAAAGGGUAAAGGAUAAAAAUAUACAUUUUAAAAUCAAAUGGAUUAAUUGGAAGCAAUUCUUCCUUGCGUGACUUGUCUCUGCAGCAUUGAAGAUUCAUCUGUUUGAAUGUGAAGGACUCCAAUACCAACCUAUCUCCUUUGAAGAAGUAGGUUUUCCCAACAUCCUCCCACCAAAUUGCUGAAUCAAUACCAUGGGGAGGAAUUCCGAUUCCAAGUGUUAUCAAAUCUUGAGGAUACCCUGGCUGGAGAGUGGUGUCCUUGAAGACCCAGAACUUGUUACCUGUACAAAA